UACGUAGGGACCAAGCGUUGUUCGGAUUUACUGGGCGUAAAGGGCGCGUAGGCGGCAGAUCAAGUCAGUUAUGAAAUCUCUGGGCUUAACUCAGAACUGUCAACUGAUACUGUUUUGCUAGAGUGCGGAAGGGGCAAUCGGAAUUCUCGGUGUAGCGGUGAAAUGCGCAGAUAUCAGGAGGAACACCAGUGGCGAAGGCGGUGCUCUGGGCCGGAACUGACGCUGAGGAGCGAAAGCGUGGGGAGCAAACAGG
rnacentral:rRNA from 1 species